rnacentral:tRNA from 1 species
UCCCCGGUGGCUCAGACGGUAAAGCAUCUGUCUACAAUGCUGGAAACCCAGGUUCGAUUCCUGGGUCAGGAA